rnacentral:rRNA from 1 species
AGUGAACGCUGGCGGUAGGCCUAACACAUGCAAGUCGAACGGCAGCACAGUAAGAGCUUGCUCUUACGGGUGGCGAGUGGCGGACGGGUGAGGAAUACAUCGGAAUCUACUUUUUCGUGGGGGAUAACGUAGGGAAACUUACGCUAAUACCGCAUACGACCUACGGGUGAAAGCAGGGGAUCUUCGGACCUUGCGCGAUUGAAUGAGCCGAUGUCGGAUUAGCUAGUUGGCGGGGUAAAGGCCCACCAAGGCGACGAUCCGUAGCUGGUCUGAGAGGAUGAUCAGCCACACUGGAACUGAGACACGGUCCAGACUCGUACGGGAGGCAGCAGUGGGGAAUAUUGGACAAUGGGCGCAAGCCUGAUCCAGCCAUACCGCGUGGGUGAAGAAGGCCUUCGGGUUGUAAAGCCCUUUUGUUGGGAAAGAAAAGCAGCAGGUUAAUACCCCGCUGUUCCGACGGUACCCAAAGAAUAAGCACCGGCUAACUUCGUG